UGAGCAAUCUGCCCUUCACUUUCGGAUAACUACCGGAAACGGUGGCUAAUACCGGAUAUGACUACUCCCUGCAUGGGGUGGUAGUGGAAAGUUUUGGCGGUGGAGGAUGAGCUCGCGGCCUAUCAGCUUGUUGGUGAGGUAAUGGCUCACCAAGGCUUCGACGGGUAGCCGGCCUGAGAGGGUGACCGGCCACACUGGGACUGAGACACGGCCCAGACUCCUACGGGA
rnacentral:rRNA from 1 species